rnacentral:rRNA from 1 species
UACGAGGGGGGGCGAGCGUUUGUUCGGAAUUAUUGGGCGUAAAGGGUGCGUAGGCGGUUUGGUAAGUCUGAUGUGAAAUCUAUGGGCUCAACUCAUAGUCUGCAUCGGAAACUGCCGGGCUUGAGUGUGGGAGAGGUGAGUGGAAUUCCUGGUGUAGCGGUGAAAUGCGUAGAUAUCAGGAGGAACACCUGUGGCGAAAAGCGGCUCACUGGACCAUAACUGACGCUGAUGCACGAAAGCUAGGGGGAGCAAACAGG